UGGCUACACAGGUCGUGAUGAAAAUUUGGUGGGAUCUUCGAACACGUGCCAAGCUGCGUUUUAUCACCUUCUGAUACAGCAAGAGACUAGUCUUGAUAUGCGCGCAAGCUAGAAAGGACGCGCUUGCGCAGUACAUGUCUCAACACCAGGCGGUAGUUUGGGCAGAGGGUGCAGGAAUUUGCCUUGGAACGCCCCCGUAGAUUGCGUCAAAUUUCAGCGCGCCUGCCCCACGGUGCCCAAAGUAGUCAUUCGCUGCACGCUCCGCAGAGGACACUCGACUAUGGCCGGAGAAGAAACGGCUCGACCCUACUUGACGAUGUCGUACGCCAGCUGCAACGUGGACCAGGGUGCAAGCAGUGCAGCGCCUGAUCUGGACUCUGGCAGAGUUCCCGAAGAAACCAGAGAAGCAGCGUGGCAGCAGCGAGAGAACCAGGCUGCCAACAGAAUCCUACAGUGCCAUGUGUGCCAGUUCGCUUUCACCGACAUGGAGGCCUUCAAAAACCACGCCUACGACCACUCGCUUGGGAAAAUCCACAACUGUUCGGAGUGUGGGAAACUGUAUAAGAGGCAUUACGACCUCACGAGACAUUUGCUUACGCACGGCGAACCAUCCUUUCAGUGCGGCGUGUGCGGCAAAACAUUUUAUACCAAAGAUGGCCACCAGAACCACGUGUUUGUAUUCCACGUAGGCACACAGGAUUGAGAAGCCGUCGAUGGGUCUGUUUAACACGGGUAGCACAAACCACGAAAUUGGUCCGGCACGUCUUGAAGCACCGUCGGAGGACUCGCAUCUGCGUCGGUGUAGCCGGAUGUUCGCCCGUGAGGAGUGACUUCUCUGGAUGUCACCCUGGUGCCAAGACGUGUCGUGUGCGUUCGCAGAAAAACUUUCGAUCUGGGCCUCAACUUCUCUAGCUGCGCGCUGACUUCUUGACAAACCAAAGGGGGCUAAUCUUAUUCUUUCUGACUACGGCUGAAGAAUGCCUGCAAAUAAAGUUGUUACAGUGAUUAUCUCGUGGAA